rnacentral:lncRNA from 1 species
GAUAAGUUGUGCUUUUAAUGAUUCUUAUAUCUUGAUAAACAAGUGGUGACAAGAUACUCUUAUUAAGAAUCACCUAUGUGAGUGUGAACUAGGCCAAUUCUAUCAGAAUGAUAAGGCAAUACUUCUCUAGGGCACUCAUAAAUCCUGGAAUAUUCAGUACAGAAAUGAACAAAGUCAUGAAAACCAAAUAGUUUCUGGAAAGAUUUUGUGUGAAUUUUUAUUGUCUCAAUUUACACAAACGGUUGGGCAGUUCAAGACAUCACAUUCACUGAACAACCAAUAAACCCGAUAGUCUUUCACAAGGUAAGGUUCAAGACCAGAAGCGACAUCUCUCUAUACAGAUGAUUUCUAAUUUUUUUUUCUCUCUCAAUGUCUGCAUAACAUUUGCAUAGGCUGGCAAUCAAUUUCAUUCAUGUGGGGGACUGUUAGAAUUUGAGCUUUAAUUUAAGUGGG